ensembl:lncRNA
CUUGUUCUGGUAAACUACGUGAUAGAUUCCUCACUAUUUGGCCGAGGUUAUUUUUACCCGUAAGUCCUGGCAACGCUGCCUGUGUGGGGCGGAGCUGUUACUUGGCAGCAUUUUCCCUUGAAACAAGGCUGUGAUUUGCUUCUGUUUGGUUUUCUCAGACACAUUAAGGAGUGAGAGGCAUUAUUUUAGACAAAUGAUCCAAAGUCAUCACAGUGAUACAAUAACUGAGAGAUUUGCUGAGCGAAACACAUGAACAUAUGGAUUGAUUAAAAUAUAGGAAAGGAAACAGACCUGGAAGCGGUGAAAGGGCUCUUUUUUGAUCCUUUAAUAAUGUGCAGUCUUUAUAUAACCUCAGGGUCGUGGGGAACCUGGACGGGGUGCCAAUCCAUCGCAGGGCACAAUCACAUACACAUUCACACACCCAUUCAUACAUUAUGCAUGCCUUUGGACUGGAGGAGGAAACCGGAGUACCUGGAGGAAACCUCCGCAGCACGGGGAGAACACGCAAACUCCACACACACAGGGCAGCGGCGGGAAUCAAACCCUCAACUCUGGAGCGAUGGAGUCUGGUCUGAGGCGGGAGACGAGUGGUGUGCAGAUGUGCAAAGAGGACCAGAGAGAAAAAGAGGGAGGGAAAGAAGACGGGGAAGACGGGGAAGAGGAGCAACAAAACAUCGAAGUGAUUGUCUUACCUUAAAGAUUCUUUUCAAUAUAGUAAAUGAUUAUAAUAGUUUCCAUAAACAGACAAACAUACAAGAACUCUCUCUCUCUCUCUCUCUCUCUCUCUCUCUCUCUCUCUCUCUCUCUCUCACACACACACACAUAUUUUGGAAAUUGGCAUCACUCAGAUUUUGUCUUGCCUUAAAAUCCUCAAGAAUUUUCAUUCCCCAUAAUUCCUUUCCUCA